GUGUGACUUCUCUCUGUGCUUGCAGGUUUUGCGGGAAGUUGUGGAGAGAAGCAGCUGAGUGCUGAGAAGAGCCUGAGCAGGUCUGCUGUGGGCCUUUCCCAGGCGUGGCUGAGACUUUCAGGCGCCACGGGCUUCCCCCCAGGCAGGAUGUUGGCGUUUGGAGUUGUUGCGGUGCAGGUGAUGAAGGCAAAUGUGGUGAGCAAAAGAAGAUCAGAGGGUGCGGCUGCUGCAGAGGAUGUGUCUGCUGUUGAGGAUGCCUCUUGAGGAGCAACAGUGAUGCAGAGCACUGCAAAAGUGAAGUGCAUGGGCAAAGGGUGUGUGUGUGUGUGUGUGUGUGUGUGUGUGUGUGUGUGUGUGUGUGUGUGUGUGAGGCAGAGGCAGUGGGGUGUGCAUGGCAGAAAGUGAGGGUGGGUGUCAGGCAGGGCAGCUCCAGCCUGUGUCUGUGUUGUUGUGUAGUCUAUGUGGUGUGUGUUGUAGC